UACGGAGGAGGCUAGCGUUGUCCGGAAUCAUUGGGCGUAAAGAGCGUGUAGGCGGCUCGAUAAGUCCGCUCUGAAAGCCCGGGGCUCAACCCCGGGAGGCGGGCGGAUACUGUCGAGCUAGAGUCCGGAAGAGGCGAGUGGAAUUCCUGGCGUAGCGGUGAAAUGCGCAGAUAUCAGGAGGAACACCAAUGGCGAAGGCAGCUCGCUGGGACGGUACUGACGCUGAGACGCGAAAGCGUGGGGAGCAAACAGG
rnacentral:rRNA from 1 species